rnacentral:rRNA from 1 species
GAUCCUGGCUCAGGAUUAACGCUGGCGGCGUGCAUAACACAUUCAAGUCGAACGGAGCUAUUCCUUCGGGGAUAGUUUAGUGGCGGACGGGUGAGUAACGCGUGAGCAACCUGCCCUUUUGUGGGGGAUAACGACGGGAAACUGUCGCUAAUACCGCAUAACCAGGUAGUACCGCAUGGUACAGCCUGCAAAGAUUUAUUGCAAAAGGAUGGGCUCGCGUCUGAUUAGAUAGUUGGUGGGGCAACGGCCU